rnacentral:ncRNA from 1 species
UUAGCGGCUAUUGUCAGUAAUGAUAAUAGAAAACCCCUUGAAUUCAGGGGAAGUCUCAUUGAGAUAAUCCUGAGCGAAACCUAUGCUAAUUAGCAGAAUGUUCAAACUAUGUCAGAGUUAAAAUCUGGUAACUGUUAUGAACAAGGGACGUGCAAAGACCAUCCAGAAAUGGAGUAGAGUCAAGCGACUCGAAGCGGGGGGAAUCCUUCUUACAUAAGUUAAGGAUUGUGAUAUGGUCUGUUCUAUUCGGCGACGGGUAG